GGCUGGUCUGAGUGAAGUGGUGUUUAUAACUUAUUGGUCAUAACCAGUUACAGAUUUUCUUGUUCCUUCUGCACUCCCACUGCUUCACUUGACCAUCCUUAA
ensembl:Y_RNA Y_RNA Y RNA